rnacentral:misc_RNA from 1 species
GGAGUAGUGUUUCAGAGCUUCCUGCAAAGAGCAGACGACUGAGAUUACUAAGCGUACAGGUCGAUGAAGUUCAUGUAACAAAACAAUUUCAAAUGAUGUGUGAAAAUCUUUAUUAGAUGGAGUAAAAGACUUUCAUGCCUCUCCAGAUUAUUCCCACACUAUUCACCAAGACUGAUGUUGCAGUUUUCAUACAUUAGUCUCAUUUUCGCCCAAUCAUCACUGGAACGGAAACUUUGAUUGUUUUAAUGCAUCCAGGAGAGCUGGUAUGCAACAUUCUUGUACUCAUGCAAUA